GGUAAAAUUUCAAUCAGACAACAUUAUCAAUUGCAAAAUUACAACAUUGUCAACAAUUCUAUCUGAGAGAACAUUACAGCAAUGGCUUCCAGUAAUUCAAGCCAGAAGAAACCUUUCCAGCGGUGUUGUCCCAUCUUCAGUAAUGCCAUUAGUGUUCGUCGACAUUUCUGCAACUGUGGACACAGCUUUAUAGAUGAAAAGCUUUAGGGUGAUGUAGAGCGGGAGGAGAAAUAUAAGGAAAUGGGUCGAAGAGCUGCUAAGCAUCAAAACCUUUGCAGAUCAUUUAAAGCCAUGAAAAAAUCUGUCUCUAAACUACAAGGUGGUGGUUAGCAAGUUGCUGUCAUCUAUUUUAAGGUCGGCAAUAGAAAUACCACAAAGGGCAUGCUACCAGGAAGUGGUCUGUCAAGCAAAAAUGUUAAU
rnacentral:lncRNA from 1 species